UACGUAGGAGACGAGCGUUGUCCGGAGUUACUGGGCGUAAAGGGUGCGCAGGUGGCGGCGCGCGUGGGGGGGUGAAAUCGCCCGGCUUAACUGGGCGGGGGGCCUUCCAGACGGCGUGGCUUGAGCAGCGGAGGGGGGACGUGGAAUUCCGGGUGGAGCGGUGAAAUGCGUAGAGAUCCGGAGGAACACCGACGGCGCAGGCAGCGUCCUG
rnacentral:rRNA from 1 species